rnacentral:rRNA from 1 species
AACGAACGCUGGCGGCGCGCCUAACACAUGCAAGUCGAACGAGAAGCUGUAGCAAUACAGUUGUACAGUGGCGAACGGGUGAGGAAUACAUGGGUGACCUACCCUCGAGUGGGGAAUAACCAGCCGAAAGGUUGGCUAAUACCGCGUACGUUUCCCAGUUUACGGAUUGGGAAGGAAAGCGAUGCCAUGGGUAUCGCGCUCAAGGUUGGGCUCAUGUCCUAUCAGCUUGUUGGGAGGUAACGGCUCACCAAGGCAACGACGGGUAGCUGGUCUGAGAGGACGAUCAGCCACACUGGCACUGCGACACGGGCCAGACUCCUACGGGAGGCAGCAGUGAGAAUAUUGCGCAAUGGGCGAAAGCCUGACGCAGCGACGCCGCGUGGGGGAUGAAGGUCUU